rnacentral:rRNA from 1 species
CGACGAUNGUUAACCGGNCUGANAGGGUGAACGGUCACACUGGAACUGANACACGGUCCANACUCCUACNGGAGGCAGCANUGGGGAAUUUUGNGCAAUGGGNGANNGCNUGACGCNNNNACGCCNCNNGNNGGAUGAAGGCUUUAGGGUCGUAAACCGCUGUCAAGUGGGAAGAAUCCUGACGGUACCACUGAAGGAAGCCCCGGCUAACUUCGUGCCAGCAGCCGCGGUAAUACGAAGGGGGCAAGCGUUGUUCGGAAUCAUUGGGCGUAAAGCGUAUGUAGGCGGCUAGAUAAGUCGGGCGUGCAAGCCCGUGGCUCAACCACGGAAUUGCGUUCGAAACUGUCUAGCUUGAGUGCAGAAGAGGAAAGCGGAAUUCCCAGUGUAGCNGUGAAAUGCGUUGAUAUUGGGAAGAACACCAGUGGCGAAGGCGGCUUUCUGGUCUG